rnacentral:rRNA from 1 species
CCUACGGGAGGCAGCAGUGAGGAAUAUUGGUCAAUGGACGAGAGUCUGAACCAGCCAAGUAGCGUGAAGGAUGACUGCCCUAUGGGUUGUAAACUUCUUUUAUAUGGGAAUAAAAUGUUCCACGUGUGGGAUUUUGUAUGUACCAUAUGAAUAAGGAUCGGCUAACUCCGUGCCAGCAGCCGCGGUAAUACGGAGGAUCCGAGCGUUAUCCGGAUUUAUUGGGUUUAAAGGGAGCGUAGGUGGUUUGUUAAGUCAGUUGUGAAAGUUUGCGGCUCAACCGUAAAAUUGCAGUUGAAACUGGCAGUCUAGAGUACAGUAGAGGUGGGCGGAAUUCGUGGUGUAGCGGUGAAAUGCUUAGAUAUCACGAAGAACUCCGAUUGCGAAGGCAGCUCACUGGACUGGAUCUGACACUGAGGCUCGAAAGUGUGGGUAUCAAACAGGAUUAGAUACCCGGGUAGUC